CAGGCACCCAACCCAAGAACUGCCACUACUGUAGCAGCUGUUUAAACAGUGGUGCACACAGCAAAGUGCUUUGUCGCCUUUGGGGGGCUGCGCAGUGUUCUGCGGGAAAAGAAAAAAAAAUCUAGGAAC
ensembl:snoRNA LOC120103265 small nucleolar RNA SNORA68